rnacentral:lncRNA from 1 species
UCCGCGUUUGCUCCCGACGGGGAGUUCGAUGUGGCACUCGUGGGCGAGGAGGACGAGCUUCACGGGGCUGACGGUCUGCUCGUCGGAGGGGGUGAGGACGCGGCAGAUGCAGGGCAUGUCAACCUUCUUCACCUCGUUUUUGCAGGCCUGGCUCGCGGGCAUGUAGAAGCCAUCCUUCUUGAUGCUCUUGAUGCAGAUGUGCAUGAUCAUGUCCUUCUCGUCGUAGCAGUCCUUCUCCCCCGCGGCGAGAUGCGCCGCGAACCCGGCGACGAUCGAGGCCAACAACAGGAAGCGGACGAGGGUGGCUCCGGCGCUGCCCAUCUUCCUGUGCUGCUGCUGAGCUGCUGGCUACUGUGCUUGCGAGUGGUGUGCAUGAUGCUGGCAGUGGGAGCUCGUUUAUAUAGUAGCCGAGGACCCCCGGUGCACGUACGAUCGACGGAGUGGACUGGAGACUGGAGAGAUCGACGACCUACCUACCUGGUUGACGGCGGCGCUAGUUGCAUUAAAACGGUGAGCGGCGACAAGAAAGAUUAAUGAGCUGAAAUCUUCGAUCGAACUGCCAUUAGGCAUGUGUCGCUUCAUUGAAUUCGGGUCUUCUUGGUAGUGGAUGUGAUGAUCGACCUGAGGCAUCAGGUCCAUGAACAGAUGAACUCAGCUGCAGAUGCUACACGUACGGUUUGUUCAUGGAGACAAGACAAAACCACCCCCUUCUUCCAUCAUGCAGUCAAUCACUGAAAAGAAUGGAAUAAUCAGCUAUUCUUUUUCUUUUUCCCGAAAAACUUUCAAUCUAUUCAUCUUCAAUCAUCAUUACCGGAAUCGCAUCCUAUGGCAGUGUACAACGAGCACCAAAAAUACAAAUUACAUCCAGAUCCGUAGACCAUCUAGCGACGACUACAAGUACUGAAGCGAGCCGAACGCGCGCCGUCGUCAUCACCCCUUCAUCACCGGAGUCGGGCACAACUUCAAUCAGCCAUUCUAGAUUAGCCUCCACGGUCGAUGCUCGAAAAUGGCAUCAUCGCCGAACCAGUGAAGAGGCAUCGCAUGCAGACAGUUGUAUCGUGUAUGCAUGCCACCAACUUUUUUUGGCUCUUCAAAUGCAAGCCGGCAGGUCCAUUUAACUCCAAGAAAAAGCUCAAAGGCCAUUAAUGAUCGCCCAUUAGUGGGUUAUAUAAAUCAUAGGUUGUGAGGUAAAACUCAAAUAUUAAGAUAACGUGGACGAGUAUAUAUCGGCACAUAUUAGAUUCUUUUUUUACAUCACUGCCUAUGUUCAAAUUGAUUUCACCUACAGCUAGUUGUUUCUUUUCUUUUGAGGGCUGCCUACAACUAGCAGAAACACGAAAAUACCCCUGGCUAGGGUAGGAUCUGGGUUGGAUGGGACAAAAAACAUACAAGCUCAAGCCCGAGCCGGCCUAGCUCGAAACGCUCAAUCUGUGGCGUUUUGAAAUUUUUUUUUUUGAGGGUCCGUUUUGAUUUAAGUUAACUAUUUUUUGAUGCUGAUGUAAAAAACUAUUUUUUUGCGGGUGAAAAAAAAACUAUUUUCUGAUGCAAAACCACAUUAUUAUUUUAAACUAAAAACUAAUUCCAGCAACGUCAUGCCUUUUCCGGAUGUCAGGCAGGCCGAGGCCGAACCUAGCCCGGAUGUCUUGCCUUCACGCUAGGUUCAUCUGGAUGGGCUGCCCAUAGUCAUGUCUUGGUAGAAUUACCAAAUUGAUUUUAGGCCAUAAAUUCUAAUAUUUUUUCUUUUCAGAAUAUGUAAGUGGUGCUCCCUCCUAGGGAAACACACUUUGGUUCUCGGGUGUACAUACACCCUAUAUGGAAGAAAACAAAUUAACAAUACAAAAAAUUCAAAAAAUCCAAAACUUUUAUGAAUAAACUUGUCUUUCUUUCGCACUACUAAAUAAUUUUUCAUGAAGAAAAAGAAAACCAUUGACUUCAGGGUAAAGAUUUUUUUCUUCAAUGGCAUGGUUAUUUUCUUCUUCUUUUUCAUAGUGGGGGAGAACCAACUAUGUGUAGGCAUAUUUAGUUAAGCACAUAGUUAAAUUCAUGUCAUUGAUCAAUGAUACCUUGAAUACUUUGAUGACAUCUUGUAUGGUUGUAUACUCUGGUACUCAAGUAGAGCAAUAUAUAAACUGUACCAUUUCUCGCGAAUCAAAUAUACUGUACUGAGAAAGAUGCAGCUUGGAUUAUAAAAGUGGCUGUCAUCGCUUUGACUGAAUCAAUCGCAAGGUCCAGCAGCCCCAAGAUUGGCUGGCUGUUGGGUGAAUGAAUGAAUGCUUUGCUUUUUUGGCUCGCUCAUUCAGUAUGUAAUAAUAACCAGUAUUGUUUGGUUGCCUGUUGUGUCUUGAAACCGAAAUACUUGAAAAGAAUAUAGCUAUCUAUCUAGUAUGUAUGUAUGUUGAUGAAUUUGCCUGGCUGAUUAACGAGGCACCGGAGCCCCCCUCUCCUGCAAAUCUAUCCUUGAUGCCACAAGUGUUUCCAAUUUCCAAAUUUGACAAAAUUUGAAUGAAACGACUCAUAUAUGUAUGCAUCUUUUCCCUUGUCUGUGGGAAGCGACUGCUUUCAAACUUACCACUAGAAAUCAGAUGUGGUGUUUUCGUUACAAUAGGAGUCUUACAUCACUAGUAGAAAACAGGGCUUUGGUUGAGGCCUGGGUAAGGGCAUUAAUCUUGGUUCACUCACGACCCGGGACCAAAUGGGGCAUCAGUCCCGGUUCGUGAGGCCAGGGCGCCGGCCGGGCCUCGGGGGGCCAUUGGUCCUACACUAGUAGAAAACAUGGCUUUGGUACAGGCCUGGCCAGCCCAUUAGUCCCGGUUCAGUCACAAACCAGGACCCAUGGGAGCAUAUGUCCCGGAUCGUGAGCCCAAGGGGCCGGCCGGGCCUCGUGGGGCAUUGGUCCCAGUUCAUCUGUCCCCUUUGGUCCCGGUUCCAGACAUGAACCGGGACCAAUGGGCCUCGUUCCUGGCCCACAUCCAUUGGUCCCGGUUCAUGGUUGGAAUCGGGAGGUUCGUGGCCAAUGAGGUGCCUAUAUAUACCCCCUCGCCCGCGAGCAGAGCACUCCAGUGCUCUGUUUUUUCUGGCCGGUGAGGGGAGAGCUUUGUGGUGCUCUAGAUCACCUUCUAUGCACAUGAGGUGUUCGAUGAAAUGCCCGAGCCACACUAUUUAAGCUUUCUCCUCUCCAAGCUCGACCUCCGGCCUCCAUUUUUCUCAAGAUUUGUCUAGGUUUAGCGGUCUGUCACGUCCCCGUCUUCUCCGCCGUCGAUCGCUCGCGCCGAUCUCGUCGCCGGCACUACCGUGGUGAUCCUCUUGUUCUUAUCUUCUUUCUAAAAGAAAAUAAAUAAGAAGAGGAACAUAAAAAAUAAGAAGCUUUAGAGAGCUAUAUGUUGUUCAAUGAGAACUAUAUAUGUAUGAACUUUAUGUAUUUUUUUAGUAAUAACAUUUGAUCACUAUUGUACUUUGGUUUUAAUGUGAUGAUGAACUUCUAUUAAUUUGGUCACUUAUCUAUCCAUGAUGUUCUGUAAUGGUUUUUGACACACUUAAUUAUAUAAUGCAUGCAGAUGAACCGACAAUGGAUGUAUGGUGACAGACGCACCUCCGAGUACAUUAAGGGCGUGCAUAAUUUUCUCGAAGUGGUUGAGGCAAACAAGCAGAAUGGUUUUAUGUGUUGUCCAUGCCCUAGAUGUGGGAAUACGUAGUCUUACUCUGACCAGAAAAUCCUUCACACCCACCUUCUUGAGUCAUGCCACACUAUAAUGUUUGGACCAAGCACGGAGAAAGAGGGGUUAUGAUGGAAGACAACAAAGAAGAAGAGGAUGAUGACAACUAUGUGCCCCCUGAAUACGGUGAUGCUGCAACGGGGGAAGCUGAAGAUAAAGAGGAACCAAACGAUGUGCCCGAUGAUGAUCUUCGUCGGGUCAUUGUUGAUGCAAAGAGACAAUGCGGAAGUGAAAAGGAGGAGUUGAAGUUCGAUCGCAUGUUAGAGGAUCAAAUAAAAGGGUUGUACCCCAAUUGCGAAGAUGGCAACACAAAGCUCGGUACCACACUGGAAUUGCUGGAGUGAAAGGCAGACAAUGGUGUAUCUGACAACGGAUUUGAGAAGCUACUGAAAAUAUUGAAGAAGAAGCUUCCAAAGGAUAACGAAUUGCCCGACAGACGACAGUACGUACGGAGCAAAGAAGGUUCUAUGCCCUCUAGGAUUGGAGGUGCAAAAGAUACAUGCAUGCCCUAAUGACUGCAUCCUCUACCGCGGUGCGUACUGCUACCUCUUGAGCAUGCGUUGGUUUUCCCUUGAACGGGAAAGGGUGAUGCAACAAAGUAGCGUAAGUAUUUCCCUCAGUUUUGAGAACCAAGGUAUCAAUCCAGUAGGAGACAAUGCACAAGUCACCUAGUACCUGCACAAACAAUCAAGAACCUUGCAACCAAUGUGAUAAAGGGGUUGUCAAUCCCUUCACGGUCACUCACAAAAGUGAGAUCUAAUAAAGAUAGUAAAGUAAAUAUUUUUGGUAUUUUUGUUGUAUAGAUUGGAAAGUAAAGAUUGCAAAAUAGUAAACGAGAUGCGAUGUAAAUAAAAGAGAUGCAAUAUAAUAAGAAAGAGACCCGGGGGCCAUAGGUUUCACUAGUGCUUCUCUCAAGAUAGCAAGUAUUACGGUGGGUGAACAAAUUACUGCCGAGCAAUUGAUAGAAAAGCGCAGAGUUAUGAAGAUAUCUAAGGCAAUGAUCAUGAAUAUAGGCAUCACGUCCGUGUCAAGUAGAUCGAAAUGAUUCUGCAUCUGCUACUAUUACUCCACACAUCGACCGCUAUCCAGCAUGCAUCUAGAGUAUUAAGUUCAUAAGAACAGAGUAACGCAUUAAACAAGAUGACAUGAUGUAGAGGGAUAAACUCAAGCAAUAUGAUAUAAAGCCCAUCUUUUUAUCCUCAAUGGAAACAAUACAAUACGUGCCUUAUUGCCCCUACUGUCACUGUGAAAGGACACCGCAAGAUUGAACCCAAAACUAAGCACUUCUCCCAUUGCAAGAAAAAUCAAUCUAGUAGACCAAACUAAACCGAUAAUUCAAAGAGACUUGCAAAGAUAUCAAAUCAUGCAUAUAAGAAUUUAGAGAAAAACCAAAUAAUAUUCAUAGAUAAUCUUGUUCAUAAACCCACAAUUCAUCGGAUCUCGGCAAACACACCACAAAAAAGUAUUACAUCGAAUAGAUCUCCAAGAACAUCGAGGAGAACUUUGUAUUGAGAAUCAAAGAGAGAGAGAAGAAGCCAUCUAGCUAAUAACUAUGGACCCGAAGGUCUAUGUUAAACUACUCACGCUUCAUCAGAGAGGCAAUGGUGUUGAUGUAGAAGCCCUCCGUGAUCGAUUCCCCCUCCGGCAGAUCACCGGAAAAGGCCCUGAGAUGGGAUCUCAUGGGUACAGAAGGUUGCGCCGGUGGAAAAGUGGUUUCGUGCCUCUCUGCGAUGUUUCUAGGGUAUAAGAGUAUAUAUAGGCGAAAGAAGUACGUCAGUGGAGCUACGAGGGGCCCACGAGGGUGGGGGCGCGCCCUCCUGCCUCGUGGCCUCCUCGUGGAGUUCCAGACUUCGACUCCAAGUCUUCUGGAUUGCUUUCGGUCCAGGAAAGAUCAUCGCAAAGGUUUCAUCCUGUUUGGACUCCGUUUGGUAUUCCUUUUCUGCGAAACUCUAAAAUAGGCAAAAAAACAGAAACUGGCACUGGGCCUCCGGUUAAUAGGUUAGUCCCAAAAAUAAUAUAAAAUAGCAUAUUAAAGCCCAUUAAACAUACAAAAAAGAUAAUAUAAUAGCAUGGAACAAUAAAAAAUUAUAGAUACGUUGGAGACGUAUCACGUACGAGGAUUUGAACGCAUGCCCAGUAUGCGGUGCAUUGCGGUAUAAGAUCAGACGAGAUGACGCUGGUGAUGUUUGAUGGGUUUCAUAGUAAUUUCAAAAAAAUUCCUACGCACACGCAAGAUCAUGUGAUGCAUAGCAACGAGAGGGGAGAGUGUUGUCUACGUACCCAUGCAGACCGACUGCGGAAGCGUUGACACAACGUAGAGGAAGUAGUCGUACGUCUUAACGAUCCAACCGAUCAAGCACCGAAACUACGACACCUCCGAGUUCGAGCACACGUUCAGCUCGAUGACGAUCCCCGGACUCCGAUCCAGCAAAGUGUCGGGAAAGAGUUCUGUCAGCACGACGGCGUGGUGACGAUCUUGAUGUACUACAGCAGCAGGGCUUCGCCUAAACUCCGCUACAGUAUUAUCGAGGACUAUGGUGGCUGGGGGCACCGCACACGGCUAAGGAAUAGAUCACGUGGAUCAACUUGUGUGUUCUAGGGUGCCUCUACCUCAGUAUAUAAAGGACCAAAGGGGGGAGGCUGGCCGGCCACAAGGGGUGCGCCAGGAGAGUCCUACUCCCUCUGGGAGUAGGAUNNNNNNNNNNNNNNNNNNNNNNNNNNNNNNNNNNNNNNNNNNNNNNNNNNNNNNNNNNNNNNNNNNNNNNNNNNNNNNNNNNNNNNNNNNNNNNNNNNNNNNNNNNNNNNNNNNNNNNNNNNNNNNNNNNNNNNNNNNNNNNNNNNNNNNNNNNNNNNNNNNNNNNNNNNNNNNNNNNNNNNNNNNNNNNNNNNNNNNNNNNNNNNNNNNNNNNACUCCCUCCGGGAGUAGGAUUCCCCCCAAUCCUAGUUGGAAUAGGAUUCCUCGGGGGGGGGGGGAGAGAGAGGGGGCCGGCCACCUCUCCUAGUCUUAAUAGGACUAGAGGAGGGGGGAGGCGCGCAGCCCACCUUGGGCUGCCCCUUUCUCCUUUCCACUAAAGCCCACUAAGGCCCAUAUGGUUCCCGGGGGGUUCCGGUAACCUCCCGGUACUCCGGUAAAAUCCCGAUUUCACUCGGAACACUUCCGAUAUCCAAACAUAGGCUUCCAAUAUAUCAAUCUUUAUGUCUCGACCAUUUCUAGACUCCUCGUCAUGUCCGUGAUCACAUCCGGGACUCCGAACUAACUUCGGUACAUCAAAAUGCAUAAACUCAUAAUAUAACUGUCAUCGUAACCUUAAGCGUGCGGACCCUACGGGUUCGAGAACAAUGUAGACAUGACCGAGACACGUCUCCGGUCAAUAACCAAUAGCGGGACCUGGAUGCCCAUAUUGGCUCCUACAUAUUCUACGAAGAUCUUUAUCGGUCAGACUGCAUGACAACAUACGUUGUUCCCUUUGUCAUCGGUAUGUUACUUGCCCGAGAUUCGAUCGUCGGUAUCCAAUACCUAGUUCAAUCUCAUUACCGGCAAGUCUCUUUACUCGUUCUAUAAUACAUCAUCCCGCAACUAACUCAUUAGUUGCAAUGCUUGCAAGGCUUAUGUGAUGUGCAUUACCGAGAGGGCCCAGAGAUACCUCUCCGACAAUCGGAGUGACAAAACCUAGUCUCGAAAUACGCCAACCCAACAUGUACCUUUGGAGACACCUGUAGUACUCCUUUAUAAUCACCCAUUUACGUUGUGAUGUUUGGUAGUACCCAAAGUGUUCCUCCGGUAAACGGGAGUUGCAUAAUCUCAUAGUUAUAGGAACAUGUAUAAGUCAUGAAGAAAGCAAUAGCAACAUACUAAACGAUCGGGUGCUAAGCUAAUGGAAUGGGUCAUGUCAAUCAGAUCAUUCAACUAAUGAUGUGACCUCGUUAAUCAAAUAACAACUCAUUGUUCAUGGUUAGGAAACAUAACCAUCUUUGAUUAACGAGCUAGUCAAGUAGAGGCAUACUAGUGACACUUUGUUUGUCUAUGUAUUCACACAUGUAUUAGGUUUCCGAUUAAUACAAUUCUAGCAUGAAUAAUAAACAUUUAUCAUGAUUAUAAGGAAAUAAAUAAUAACUUUAUUAUUGCCUCUAGGGCAUAUUUCCUUCAGUCUCCCACUUGCACUAGAGUCAAUAAUCUAGAUUACACUGUAAUGAUUCUAACACCCAUGGCGCCUUGGUGCUGAUCAUGUUUUGCUCGUGGAAGAGGCUUAGUCAAUGGGUCUGCAACAUUCAGAUCCGUAUGUAUCUUGCAAAUCUGUAUGUCUCUCACCUGGACUAGAUCCCGGAUGGAAUUGAAGCGUCUCUUGAUGUGCUUGGUUCUCUUGUGAAAUCUGGAUUCCUUUGCCAAGGCAAUUGCACCAGUAUUGUCACAAAAGAUUUUCAUUGGACCCGAUGCACUAGGUAUGACACCUAGAUCGGAUAUGAACUCCUUCAUCCAGACUCCUUCGUUCGCUGCUUCCGAAGCAGCUAUGUACUCCGCUUCACAUGUAGAUCCCGCUACGACGCUUUGUUUAGAACUGCACCAAUUGACAGCUCCACCGUUUAAUGUAAACAUGUACCCGGUCUGCGAUUUAGAAUCGUCCGGAUCAGUGUCAAAGCUUGCAUCAACGUAACCUUUUACGAUGAGCUCUUUGUCACCUCCAUAUACGAGAAAUAUAUCCUUAGUCCUUUUCAGGUAUUUCAGGAUGCUCUUGACCGCUGUCCAGUGAUCCACUCCUGGAUUACUUUGGUACCUCCCUGCUAAACUUAUAGCAAGGCACACAUCAGGUCUGGUACACAGCAUUGCAUACAUGAUAGAGCCUAUGGCUGAAGCAUAGGGAACAUCUUUCAUUUUCUCUCUAUCUUCUGCAGUGGUCGGGCAUUGAGUCUGACUCAACUUUACACCUUGUAACACAGGCAAGAACCCUUUCUUUGCUUGAUCCAUUUUGAACUUCUUCAAAAUCUUGUCAAGGUAUGUGCUUUGUGAAAGUCCAAUUAAGCGUCUUGAUCUAUCUCUAUAGAUUUUUAUGCCUAAUAUGUAAGCAGCUUCACCGAGGUCUUUCAUUGAAAAACUCUUAUUCAAGUAUCCCUUUAUGCUAUCCAGAAAUUCUAUAUCAUUUCCAAUCAGUAAUAUGUCAUCCACAUAUAAUAUCAGAAAUGCUACAGAGCUCCCACUCACUUUCUUGUAAAUACAGGCUUCUCCGAAAGUCUGUAUAAAACCAAAUGCUUUGAUCACACUAUCAAAGCGUUUAUUCCAACUCCGAGAGGCUUGCACCAGUCCAUAAAUGGAUCCCUGGAGUUUGCACACUUUGUUAUCUCCCUUUGGAUCGACAAAACCUUUCGGUUGCAUCAUAUACAACUCUUCUUCCAGAAAUCCAUUCAGGAAUGCAGUUUUGACAUCCAUCUGCCAAAUUUCAUAAUCAUAAAAUGCGGCUAUUGCUAACAUGAUUCGGACAAACUUAAGCAUCGCUACGGGUGAGAAGGUCUCAUCGUAGUCAACCCCUUGAACUUGUCGAAAACCUUUUGCGACAAGUCGAGCUUUGUAGACAGUAACAUUACCAUCACCGUCAGUCUUCUUCUUGAAGAUCCAUUUAUUCUCAAUUGCUUGCCGAUCAUCGGGCAAGUCAACCAAAGUCCAUACUUUGUUCUCAUACAUGGAUCCCAUCUCAGAUUUCAUGGCUUCAAGCCACUUUGCGGAAUCUGGGCUCACCAUCGCUUCUUCAUAGUUCGUAGGUUCAUCAUGAUCUAGUAGCAUGACUUCCAGAACAGGAUUACCGUACCACUCUGGCGCGGAUCUCGCUCUGGUCGAUCUACGAGGUUCAGUAGAAUCUUGACCUGAAGUUUCAUGAUCAACAUCAUUAGCUUCCUCACUAAUUGGUAUAGAUGUCGCAGAAACAGUUUUCUGUGAUGUACUAUUUUCUAAUAAGGGAGCAGGUACAGUUACUUCGUCAAGUUCUACUUUCCUCCCACUCACUUCUUUCGAGAGAAACUCCUUCUCUAGAAAGGAUCCAUUCUUAGCAACGAAAGUUUUGCCUUCGGAUCAGUGAUAGAAGGUGUAUCCAAUAGUUUCCUUUGGAUAUCCUAUGAAGACACAUUUCUCCGAUUUGGGUUCGAGCUUAUCAGGUUGAAGCUUUUUCACAUAAGCAUCGCAGCCCCAAACUUUUAAAAACGACAACUUUGGUUUCUUGCCAAACCACAGUUUAUAAGGCGUCGUCUCAACGGAUUUUGAUGGUGCCCUAUUUAACGUGAAUGCGGCCGUCUCUAGAGCGUAUCCCCAAAACGAUAGCGGUAAAUCAGUAAGAGACAUCAUAGAUCGCACCAUAUCUAGUAAAGUACGAUUAAGACGUUCGGACACACCAUUACGCUGUGGUGUUUCGGGUGGCGUGAGUUGCAAAACUAUUCCACAAUUUUUCAAAUGUACACCAAACUCGUAACUCAAAUAUUCUCCUCCACGAUCAGAUCGUAGAAACUUUAUUUUCUUGUUACGAUGAUUUUCAACUUCACUCUGAAAUUCCUUGAACUUUUCAAAUGUUUCAGACUUGUGUUUCAUUAAGUAGAUAUAUCCAUAUCUGCUUAAGUCAUCUGUGAAGGUGAGAAAAUAACGAUAUCCGCCAUGAGCCUCAAUAUUCAUCGGACCACAUACAUCUGUAUGUAUGAUUUCCAACAAAUCUGUUGCUCUCUCCAUAGUACCGGAGAACGGUGUUUUGGUCAUCUUGCCCAUGAGGCACGGUUCGCAAGUACCAAGUGAUUCAUAAUCAAGUGGUUCCAAAAGUCCAUCAGAAUGGAGUUUCUUCAUGCACUUUACACCGAUAUGACCUAAACGGCAGUGCCACAAAUAAGUUGCACUUUCAUUAUCAACUCUGCAUCUUUUGGCUUCAACAUUAUGAAUAUGUGUAUCACUACUGUCGAGAUUCAUCAAAAAUAGACCACUCUUCAAAGGUGCAUGACCAUAAAAGAUAUUACUCAUAUAAAUAGAACAACCAUUAUUCUCUGAUUUAAAUGAAUAACCGUCUCGCAUCAAACAAGAUCCAGAUAUAAUGUUCAUGCUCAAUGCUGGCACCAAAUAACAAUUAUUUAGGUCUAAUAUUAAUCCCGAAGGUAGAUGUAGAGGUAGCGUGCCGACCGCGAUCACAUCGACUUUGGAACCGUUUCCCACGCGCAUCGUCACCUCGUCCUUUGCUAGUGUCCGCUUAUUCCGUAGUCCCUGUUUCGAGUUGCAAAUAUUAGCAACAAAACCAGUAUCAAAUACCCAGGUGCUACUGCGAGCUCUAGUAAGGUACACAUCAAUAACAUGUAUAUCACAUAUACCUUUGUUCACCUUGCCAUCCUUCUUAUCCGCCAAAUACUUGGGGCAGUUCCGCUUCCAGUGACCAGUCUGCUUGCAGUAGAAGCACUUAGUUUCAGGCUUAGGUCCAGACUUGGGUUUCUUCUCCUGAGCAGCAACUUGCUUGCCGUUCUUCUUGAAGUUCCCCUUCUUCUUCCCUUUGCCCUUUUUCUUGAAACUAGUGGUCUUGUUAACCAUCAACACUUGAUGCUCCUUCUUGAUUUCUACCUCCGCAGCUUUCAGCAUCACGAAGAGCUCGGGAAUAGUCUUGUUCAUCCCUUGCAUAUUAUAGUUCAUCAUGAAGCUCUUGUAGCUUGGUGGCAGUGAUUGGAGAAUUCUGUCAAUGACGCAAUCAUCUGGAAGAUUAACUCCCAUCUGAAUCAAGUGAUUAUUAUACCCAGACAUUUUGAGUAUAUGCUCACUGACAGAACUGUUCUCCUCCAUCUUGCAGCUAUAGAACUUAUUGGAGACUUCAUAUCUCUCAAUCCGGGCAUUUGCUUGAAAUAUUAACUUCAACUCCUGGAACAUCUCAUAUGCUCCAUGACGUUCAAAACGUCGUUGAAGUCCCGAUUCUAAGCCGUAAAGCAUGGCACACUGAACUAUCGAGUAGUCAUCAGCUUUGCUCUGCCAGACGUUCAUAACAUCUGGUGUUGCUACAGCAGCAGGCCUGGCACCCAGCGGUGCUUCCAGGACGUAAUUCUUCUGAGCAGCAAUGAGGAUAAUCCUCAAAUUACGGACCCAGCCCGUGUAAUUGCUACCAUCAUCUUUCAACUUUGCUUUCUCAAGGAACGCAUUAAAAUUCAACGGAACAACAGCACGAGUCAUCUAUCUACAAUCAACAUAAACAAGCAAGAUACUAUCAGGUACUAAGUUCAUCAUAAGUUUAAGUUCAAUUAAUCAAAUUACUUAAGAACUCCCACUUAGAUAGACAUCCCUCUAAUCCUAUAAGUGAUCACGUGAUCCAAAUCAACUAAACCAUAACCGAUCAUCACGUGAGAUGGAGUAGUUUUUAAUGGUGAACAUCGUUAUGUUGAUCAUAUCUACUAUAUGAUUCACGUUCGACCUUCCGGUCUCCGUGUUCCGAGGCCAUAUCUGCAUAUGCUAGGCUCGUCAAGUUUAACCUGAGUAUUCUGCGUGUGCAAAACUGGCUUGCACCCGUUGUAGAUGGACGUAGAGCUUAUCACACCCGAUCAUCACGUGGUGUCUGGGCACGACGAACUUUGGCAACGGUGCAUACUCAGGGAGAACACUUCUUGAUAAUUUAGUGAGAGAUCAUCUUAUAAUGCUACCGUCAAUCAAAGCAAGAUAAGAUGCAUAAAAGGAUAAACAUCACAUGCAAUCAAUAUAAGUGAUAUGAUAUGGCCCUCAUCAUCUUGUGCUUGUGAUCUCCAUCUUCGAAGCACCAUCAUGAUCAUCAUCGUCACCGGCGCGACACCUUGAUCUCCAUCGCAGCAUCGUUGUCGUCUCGCCAAUCUUAUGCUUCCACGACUAUCACUACCGCUUAGUAAUAAAGUAAAGCAUUACAUCACGUUUCAUUGCAUACAAUAAAACGACAACCAUAAGGCUCCUGCCAGUUGCCGAUAACUCGGUUACAAAACAUGAUCAUCUCAUACAAUAAAAUUCAGCAUCAUGUCUUGACCAUAUCACAUCACAACAUGCCCUGCAAAAACAAGUUAGACGUCCUCUACUUUGUUGUUGCAAGUUUUACGUGGCUGCUACGGGCUUAAGCAAGAACCAAUCUCACCUAUGCAUCAAAACCACAACGAUAGUUUGUCAAAUAGACUCCGUUUUAACCUUCGCAAGGACCGGGCGUAGCCAUACUUGGUUCAACUAAAGUUGGAGAGACAGUCGCCCGCAAGCCACCUAUGUGCAAAGCACGUCGGGGGAACCGGUCUCGCGUAAGCGUACGCGUAAUGUUGGUACGGGUCGUCUCGUCCAACAAUGCCGCCAAACCAAAGUAUGACAUGCUGGUAGGCAGUAUGACUUAUAUCGCCCACAACUCACUUGUGUUCUAUUCGUGCAUAUAACAUCAACAUAAAUAACCUAGGCUCGGAUGCCACUGAUGGGUUUCGUAGUAAUUUCAAAAAAUUUCCUACGCACACGCAAGAUCAUGUGAUGCAUAGCAACGAGAGGGGAGAGUGCUGUCUAUGUACCCACGCAGACCGACUGCGGAAGCGUUGACACAACAUAGAGGAAGUAGUCGUGCGUCUUCACGAUCCAACCGAUCAAGCACCAAAACUACGGCACCUCCGAGUUCGAGCACACGUUCAGCUCGAUGACGAUCCCCGGACUCCGAUCCAGCAAAGUGUCGGGGAAGAGUUCCGUCAGCACGACGGCGUGGUGACGAUCUUGAUGUACUACAGCAGCAGGGCUUCGCCUAAACUCCGCUACAGUAUUAUCGAGGACUAUGGUGGCUGGGGGCACCGCACACGGCUAAGGAAUAGAUCACGUGGAUCAACUUGUGUCUUCUAGGGUGCCUCUACCUCAGUAUAUAAAGGACCAAAGGGGGGGAGGCUGGCCGGCCACAAGGGGCGCGCCAGGAGAGUCCUACUCCCUCCGGGAGUAGGAUUCCCCCCAAUCCUAGUUGGAAUAGGAUUUCUCGGGGGGGGGGGGAAGAGAGAGAGGGGGCCGGCCACCUCUCCUAGUCCUAAUAGGACUAGGGGAGGGGGGAGGCGCGCAGCCCACCUUGGGCUGCCCCUUUCUCCUUUCCACUAAAGCCCACUAAGGCCAUAUGGUUCCCGGGGGGUUCCGGUAACCUCCCGGUACUCCGGUAAAAUCCUGAUUUCACUCGGAACACUUCCGAUAUCCAAACAUAGGCUUCCAAUAUAUCAAUCUUUAUGUCUCGACCAUUUCGAGACUCCUCGUCAUGUCCGUGAUCACAUCCGGGACUCCGAACUAACUUCGGUACAUCAAAAUGCAUAAACUCAUAAUAUAACUGUCAUCGUAACCUUAAGCGUGCGGACCCUACGGGUUCGAGAACAAUGUAGACAUGACCGAGACACAUCUCUGGUCAAUAACCAAUAGCGGGACCUGGAUGCCCAUAUUGGCUCCUACAUAUUCUACGAAGAUCUUUAUCGGCCAGACCGCAUAACAGCAUACGUUGUUCCCUUUGUCAUCGGUAUGUUACUUGCCCGAGAUUCGAUCGUCGAUAUCCAAUACCUAGUUCAAUCUCGUUACCGGCAAGUCUCUUUACUCGUUCUGUAAUACAUCAUCCCGCAACUAACUCAUUAGUUGCAAUGCUUGCAAGGCUUAUGUGAUGUGCAUUACCGAGAGGGCCCAGAGAUACCUCUCCGACAAUCGGAGUGACAAAACCUAGUCUCGAAAUACGCCAACCCAACAUGUACCUUUGGAGACACCUGUAGUACUCCUUUAUAAUCACCCAGUUACGUUGUGACGUUUGGUAGUACCCAAAGUGUUCCUCCGGUAAACGGGAGUUGCAUAAUCUCAUAGUUAUAGGAACAUGUAUAAGUCAUGAAGAAAGCAAUAGCAACAUACUAAACGAUCGGGUGCUAAGCUAAUGGAAUGGGUCAUGUCAAUCAGAUCAUUCAACUAAUGAUGUGACCUCGUUAAUCAAAUAACAACUCAUUGUUCAUGGUUAGGAAACAUAACCAUCUUUGAUUAACGAGCUAGUCAAGUAGAGGCAUACUAGUGACACUUUGUUUGUCUAUGUAUUCACACAUGUAUUAUGUUUCCGAUUAAUAAAAUUCUAGCAUGAAUAAUAAACAUUUAUCAUGAUUAUAAGGAAAUAAAUAAUAACUUUAUUAUUGCAUCUAGGGCAUAUUUCCUUCAAUGUUGACGGCGAGCGCCCCAGGAAGAGGGUUCCUGCCAAGGUGAUGUGGUAUGCUCCUAUAAUACCACGGUUGAAACAUCUGUUCAGAAACAAAGAGCAUGCCAAGUUGAUUCGAUGGCACAAAGAUGACCGUUAGAAAGACGGGAAGUUGAGAGCACCCGCUGAUGGGUCGCAAUGGAGAAAAAUCGAUAGAAAGUGGAGGGACUUUGCAGGUGAUGCAAGGAACAUAUGGUUUGGUUUAAACGCGGAUGGCAUUAAUCCUUUCGGGGAGCAGAGCAGCAAUCAUAGCACCUGGCUCGUGACUCUAUGUAUCUAUAACCUUCCUCAUUGGUUAUGCAUGAACCGGAAGUUCAUUAUGAUGCCAGUUCUCAUCCAAGGCUCUAAGUAACUCAGCAACGACAUUGAUGUGUACCUAAGGCCAUUAGUUGAAUAACUUUUACAGCUGUGGAAUGGAAACGGUGUACGUGUGUGGGAUGAGCAAGGCCAGCAGGAAUUUCACCUACAUGCGUUGCUGUUUGUAACCAUCAAUGAUUGGCCUGCUCUCAGUAACCUUUCAGGACAGACAAACAAGAGAUGCCACGCACGCACUAUUUAGAUCACAUCAAAAGUAUAUAUUUGGACAAAUGUAGGUACUUGGGGCAUCGUCGAUUUCCUCCGGCCAACCAUCAAUGUCGAAAGAAAGGUAAGUAUUUCAAAGGCGAGGCAGAUCAUCGGAAGAAGCCCGCCGUUCGUAAUGCCUGAGCGCCCCACAGCGGCCAUGUGGAGUCCCUUCUGUCUCGGUUUGUAAGCGUACUGGGACUAAAGGUUUUGGGUUUUAGUCUCGACCCUUUAGUCCCGGUUCUAGAACCGGGGCUAAAGGGCCUCUGGAACCGGGGUAAAUGGGAGAAACAAAAAGGUGAUUACAUAAGAGAACCAAAACAUGUUGUUACCGGACCAAACGAAAAGGUGAUUAUACUCUAUCAGUAUGUAGCAUCGAAAUGGUCUGUGAGACAACGUUUGUGUAGAGCUCUCUUGAAUGGGCCACAUUCACCAUCUAUGGUGUGGAUACCCUGUGUGGCCCUUGGCCCAGACAAAGCUCCCACAAAAAGCAAAGAGCCUAUCAUGAGGGCUGGAUGUUUUAGUCCCACCUUGCUUGUGCAACAGGUUUUUGACCAACUUAUAAGGCCAUCUCACAUGCUUUCUUUAGAUGAGAUGGAGAUAAGGUAGAGCUAUGUUACCUCUACACCACACACCUAUAACGCGUGCGCUCGUGAAUUAAACGUUAACUUAUCGCAACUUAAGACUUGACAUGGUGUUAUUUUUGUGCAAAAUAAAAGUUCUCGGAUUGACCUGAAAAUUUACGGAGAAUAUUUUUGAAAUAUGUAAAAAAUAUUGGCGCAAGAAUAAACCAGAGGGGGGCCACCCAGAGGCCACAAGCCCUAGGGGCGCGCCCUGCAUGCUUGUGGGCCCCCUGGAGCUCCCCCGACCCUAAUUCCAACUCUAUAAGUACCUAUUCACGGAGAGAGAAAACCAGAGAGAAGGAUUCAUCACGUUUUACGAUACGGAGCCACCGCCACCUCUUGUUCUUCAUCGGAAGGGCUGAUCUGGAGUCUGUUCGGGGCUCCGUAGAGGGGGAUUCAUUGCCAUCAUCAUCACCAACCUUCUUCCAUCACCAAUUCAUGAUGCUCACCGUCGUGCGUGAGUAAUUUCAUCGUAGGCUUGCUGGACGGUGAUGGGUUGGAUGAGAUUUAUCAUGUAAUCGAGUUAGUUUUGUUAGGGUUUGAUCCCUAGUAUGCACUAUGUUCUGAGAUUGAUGUUGCUAUGACUUUGUUAUGAUUAAUGCUUGUCACUAGGGCCCAAGUGCCAUGAUUUCAGAUCUGAACAUAUUACAUUUUCAUGAACAAAUUUAUGUUCUUGAUCCUAUCUUGCAAGUUGUAGAAACCUAUUACGAGUUAUGAUCCGCAUACCCCAAGAUGACAAUAAGUGGAAUUCUUUCCUGUGAUUACCGUAGUUUGAGGAGUUCAUGUAUUCACUAAGUGCCAAUGCUUUGGUCUGGUUCUCUAUUAAAAGGAGGUCUUAAUAUCCCUUAGUUUCCAUUAGGACCUCACUGCCACGGGAGGGACCGGAGGGUGGGACAAAAGAUGUCAUGCAAGUUCUUUUCCAUAAGCACGUAUGACUAUAUACAAAAUACAUGCCUACAUUAUAUUGAUGAAUUGAAGCUAGUUCUAUGUCAUCCUAGGUUAUAACUGCUACAUGAUAAAUAUUAUUCGACACAAUUAUCAUUGCCGAUACAUUGCCUGCAAGCUUUUCACAUAUUGAUCUCUGCUAAGUUACUUUCGUUGCUACUGCUGUUACAAUCACUACAAACUGAUGCUAUUACUUUUGCCACUGUUAUCGUUACUUCCAUACUACUUUGCUACUAAAUACUUUGCUGCAGAUAUUAAGUCUUACAAGCGUGGUUGAAUUGACAACUGAACAUGUAGUACUCGCGAAUAUUCUUUGGCUCCCUUAUGUCGAAUCAAUAAAUUUUGGUUGAAUACUAUACCCUCGAAAACUGUUACGAUCUCCUAUACUUGUGGGUUAUCGCAGGCCAAUGGGACGCAAGGCGCUGGCCCUCAUGGCCAUAUCGACCACCUCCUGGGACGACCAACCCCCAACAGCAUGACGAAAGAGCCCCGAUAGGCGUCGGCGCCGAGCUAGGACUAGGGGGUAGAGGGAAAUGAGAGGAGGAGAAGAGGAAGGAGGAAAACGCUCCGUUGUCGCGAUCCCAUGGUGAAAGUUUGCUCGGUAUGGAUGACCGGUGGUGGCGAGGGGGAAGGGCGAGCAGGUAGCGAUGGGGUGGGGCUCUGCCCGUGUCGACAUGAACCGUUUCUUUUCCAAACAAAAGUUAAGAUGUUAACAGAAGCUCAUUGUGUCUUAAUUAUGUAUUUUAAUUUUUUUAUCGUGUAUCCUAAAAAAAUUGCCAUGCAAUUAAAUUUCUUUUAACAUGUACCUUUAAAAUGUUCAACGCAUUUUUCAGAUAUAUUCACCGUAUAUUUAGGAAAAUGGUUGACACAUAUUAUAAGUACUUGAAAAAUGUUUGACAUGUCUUUAAAAAUUAUUUAGCACAUGUCUAAAAAAAUUCAACAAGUAUAUUAAAAAGGUUAAAUGUAUUUGUUUAAAAUUUCAUCAUGCACUUAGAAUUUUUUUGACUUAUAUUUGAAACAUGUUUAACGUGUGUUAAAAAAUGUUCAUUAUGCAUUUGAAAAUGUACAAUAGGGAUCUUCAACAAUAGUUGAACGAGUAAAAAGGAUGUUCACCAUGUAUUUUGAAAAAAAACAUUUGAUAUAUAUUUGAAAAAUGUCUUACACAUGUUUAAAAGGCUCACCAUAUAUUUAAAAAUGUACAACCAAUAUAUAGAAAAAUAUUCAGCAUGUAUUUAGCAAAUAGUCUACAUGUAACAAACUGAAAAAUUAAAACCAGGAGAAAACAUAAAAGAGAAACAUAAAGUAAAUAAAUGUCAAAUGUUUAUCCAAGAAAAUGUUUAAAGUGUAUUGCAAUUUACAAAUGGUCAAAUUGUAUUAAAACAAUGUUCAUACACUGACACCUGGCGGACUAAAAUAAUCACAAGUUCAAACUAAUAAAAGAAAGACCACAAACGGAGAAAAUGAGAUAGUAAAUUAAAAAACAAAAAAAUAGAACAAAUAACGAAGAGAAAAAUAAAAGCGAAAGGAAACAAAAACAUAUCGGAACCUUCCUCGAACUGCCAAAGGGCGCCUCCUAUUUCUCAUGUAGGUAGUGACCCUCCGCGUGCCCGUGCUCUCUAUGAGCCGGCCAUUCCAGUUUAGGGAAGGCUCUAGAACCGUUGUUGAACCAUUUUUUCUUUUAUUAUUUAAUUUUUCCUCUGGUUUCUCCUUUCUUUCUCGUUUUUAGUUUUGUAUUUUAUUUUCUCCUUUUUACAAACCAUUGAACUUUUCUCCAAGCCAUUUUUUUAAUUUCGUAUACUUUUCCAAAGCCAUUAACCUUUUUGAAAGACGCCCUCAGUUUUUCAAAUUCACGAACCAUUUUCAAAUUGGUUAUUUUUUCUGAAAUAUGUGAAAUCUUAAAAUUCACACGCAUUUUAUAAUUCCGAGAAUAUUUUAAAAAUUUAUGAUUUUUUUGGAAAUUCAAGAAUAUUUGUAAAAUCAUCAACAUUUUUUGAACUUUUGGACCAAUUUAUGAAAUUGCGAACUUUUGUUGAAUAUAUGCUAACAUUUUGUGUGUGUGUGUGUGUGUGUGUGUGUGUGAAAUCAUCAACAUUUUGUGUUCCUACAAAAAUAUGCUAAACUUUUGUGGAUGGUAGAAUGUUUUUUUUAUUCACAAACUUUGUUUUGAAACUUUUUGUGAAUGGUGACAUGAGAAUAUAUUGUUGGAAGGACAUGUUAAAUCGUAUUCACUUCGUUCCAACAACGCCAUGUUAGAUUUAAACGAGCAAUAAUAAAGAAAAAGGUGCCAAGGCGGAACUCGUAGCAACUGCGGUCUUUUGUAAUGCAUGAAGUGUAGCAUUCUAGACAGAAGGCUUUUAUUCUUACUAUUAUUAAUUUAUUAUUGGGAUCUCUGAGGGGAACAUGCCAUGGCAGAUUACAUUCUACGACGAUGAUGAUAGUCACUAUAUAGCUCAGCAUACAGGCACGUACGCGCGCACUUUAUUUAGUUAUUCUGCCAAUGAUCUCAGUCUUCUUCACCGGCCUUCCUCUCGCGCGAUCCCCAUGAUCGAAGCUCCUCACGCGUGCGCGGGUGGUGGCACUGGUGCUACGGUGUAAGCUGCAAUUAUUAAGUCGUGCGUGGAUUAGACGAGCCCGUGCAAAACAGAAAAAUGAAUUGCGCAAAGCCUCUACUUAGUUGCUUACUUCCGCAUUUGCUCCCGACGGUGAGUUUGAUUUUGCAGUCGUGGGCGAGGUGGACGAGCUUCACGGGGCUGACGGUACGCUCGUCGGAGGCGGUGAGGACGCGGCAGAUGCAGGGCAUGUCGACCUUCUUCACCUCGUUGCGGCAGGCCUGGCUUGGGGGCAUGUAGAAGCCCUCCUUCUUGAUGCUCUUGAUGCAGAUGCUCAUGAUCCUGUCCCUCUCGUCGUAGCAGUCCUUCUCCCCC